rnacentral:rRNA from 1 species
CCUACGGGAGGCAGCAGUGAGGAAUAUUGGUCAAUGGACGAGAGUCUGAACCAGCCAAGUAGCGUGAAGGAUGACUGCCCUAUGGGUUGUAAACUUCUUUUAUAUGGGAAUAAAACGUUCCACGUGUGGGAUUUUGUAUGUACCAUAUGAAUAAGGAUCGGCUAACUCCGUGCCAGCAGCCGCGGUAAUACGGAGGAUCCGAGCGUUAUCCGGAUUUAUUGGGUUUAAAGGGAGCGUAGGUGGAUUGUUAAGUCAGUGGUGAAAGUUUGCGGCUCAACCGUAAAAUUGCAGUUGAAACUGGCAGUCUUGAGUACAGUAGAGGUGGGCGGAAUGCGUGGUGUAGCGGUGAAAUGCUUAGAUAUCACGAAGAACUCCGAUUGCGAAGGCAGUUCACUGGACUGCAACUGACACUGAGGCUCGAAAGUGUGGGUAUCAAACAGGAUUAGAUACCCUUGUAGUC